CGGUGAUAUUUAAUGAAAGUGAAAGGAGCCAAAGCAGAGAUACAAUCAACUAUUGUAUCAACCAAUCUCAUCAAAAGCGCAGUGCUAAAAUUCCUCAAUCUCAUGACAACCAAUAUGCUUGUUUUAUUAAUCCUUUUUCUCCAAUUUUAAAUUCUUGAUUUACCAAUUGUGAUGCUUGAUGGAAAACGUAACCACACUUUCUUAAAAAUGGAAAGCAUAUUCAUGUUGCACACUUAAAAUUGCAAGAUAGUAACAC
rnacentral:lncRNA from 1 species